CAGCAAAUGGUACAAUAUUUCUACGUAGUAAAGUUUGUGACGGUGGCUAGUCUUUUGAAAAAGAGGUGACGCCUAUGUUAUUGUUUUUCCGCGUUAUUUCUGGAAAGGAAUAGCCUUGACUGUUUAUCAAUCGUUAAUGUUUGCGAUAGCUUUCGCAACUUUGAUUGUGACAAUCAUCAAUAAAAA
rfam:Enterococcus sp. 3H8_DIV0648 scaffold00001, whole genome shotgun sequence.